rnacentral:rRNA from 1 species
UCGAACGGCAACACGAACUUAGGUUUGGUGGCAAGUGGCGAACGGGUGAGUAACACAUCAGAACAUACCUCAUUGUGGGGGAUAGUCCAGCGAAAGUUGGGUUAAUACCGCAUACAAUUCGUCGUUAGGCAGAAUGAAAGCAGGGGACUGUUACAGCCUUGUGCUCUGAGAAUGACUGAUGUCCGAUUAGCUAGUUGGUGGGGUAAAUGCUCACCAAGGCAACGAUCGGUAGCUGGUCUGAGAGGACGGACAGCCACACUGGAACUGAGACACGGUCCAGACUUCUACGGAAGGCAGCAGUGGGGAAUCUUGGACAAUGGGGUAAACCCUGAUCCAGCAAUGACGCGUGUGCGAAGAAGGCCUUUGGGUUGUAAAGCACUUUUGUUUGGGACGAAAGCCUACCAACUAACAAUUGGUGUGGGAUGACUGUACCAAAAGAAUAAGCACCGGCUAACUACGUGCCAGCAGCCGCGGUAAUACGUAGGGUGCGAGCGUUAAUCGGAAUUACUGGGCGUAAAGGGUGUGUAGGUGGCUUACUAAGACUGUCUGUUAAAACCCGAGGCUUAACCUUAGAGAGCAGUGGUAACUGGUAGGCUAGAGUAUGGAAGAGGAGGGCAGAAUUCUGUGUGUAGCAGUGAAAUGCGUAGAUACACGGAGGAAUACCGAAGGCGAAGGCAGCCCUCUGGGCCAAUACUGACGCUGAAACACGAAAGCGUGGGGAGCAAACAGGAUUAGAUACCCCGGUAGUCCACGCCCUAAACGAUGUUGACUAAUCAUUGGUUCGGUAUCCGGUUCAGUGGUGUAGCUAACGCAAUAAGUCAACCGCCUGGGGAGUACGACCGCAAGGUUAAAACUCAAAGGAAUUGACGGGGACCUGCACAAGCGGUGGAUGAUGUGGAUUAAUUCGAUGCAACACGAAGAACCUUACCUACCCUUGACAUGAUCGAAAUUCUGCUGAGAAGUGGAAGUGCUCGCAAGAGAAUCGGUUAACAGGUGCUGCAUGGUUGUCGUCAGCUCGUGUCGUGAGAUGUUGGGUUAAGUCCCGCAACGAGCGCAACCCUUAUCUUUAAUUGCUACUGAUGUUCUAGUUACCUUAAAGAGACUGCCAGCGAUAAGCGGGAGGAAGGUGGGGAUGACGUCAAGUCCUCAUGGCCUUUAUGGGUAGGGCUUCACACGUCAUACAAUGGCCGGUACAAAGAGUUGCCAAUCUGCGAAGAGGAGCUAACCUCAGAAACCCGGUCCCAGUUCGGAUUGUACUCUGAAACUCGAGUGCAUGAAGUAGGAAUCGCUAGUAAUCGUGAAUCAGCAUGUCGCGGUGAAUUCGUUCCCAGGUCUUGUACACCCCGCCCGUCACACCAUGGAAGUAAUCUCUGCCUGAAGUAACCUAUCUAACCAUUCACAUC